UCCCUUAGUAGUGGCGAGCGAACGGGGACCAGCCCUUAAGUUGAUUUGAGAUUAGUGGAACGCUCUGGAAAGUGCGGCCAUAGUGGGUGAUAGCCCCGUACACGAAAAUCUCUUGUCAAUGAAAUCGAGUAGGACGGAGCACGAGAAACUUUGUCUGAACAUGGGGGGACCAUCCUCCAAGGCUAAAUACUACUGACUGACCGAUAGUGAACCAGUACCGUGAGGGAAAGGCGAAAAGAACCCCGGAGAGGGGAGUGAAAUAGAACCUGAAACCGUAUGCGUACAAGCAGUGGGAGCCUACUUUGUUAGGUGACUGCGUACCUUUUGUAUAAUGGGUCAGCGACUUAUAUUCAGUGGCGAGCUUAACCGAAUAGGGGAGGCGUAGCGAAAGCGAGUCUUAAUAGGGCGUUUAGUCGCUGGGUAUAGACCCGAAACCGGGCGAUCUAUCCAUGGGCAGGUUGAAGGUUAGGUAACACUGACUGGAGGACCGAACCGACUACCGUUGAAAAGUUAGCGGAUGACCUGUGGAUCGGAGUGAAAGGCUAAUCAAGCUCGGAGAUAGCUGGUUCUCCUCGAAAGCUAUUUAGGUAGCGCCUCAUGUAUCACUCCAGGGGGUAGAGCACUGUUUCGGCUAGGGGGUCAUCCCGACUUACCAAACCGAUGCAAACUCCGAAUACCUGGAAGUGCCGAGCAUGGGAGACACACGGCGGGUGCUAACGUCCGUCGUGAAAAGGGAAACAACCCAGACCGUCAGCUAAGGUCCCAAAGUCAUGGUUAAGUGGGAAACGAUGUGGGAAGGCUUAGACAGCUAGGAGGUUGGCUUAGAAGCAGCCACCCUUUAAAGAAAGCGUAAUAGCUCACUAGUCGAGUCGGCCUGCGCGGAAGAUGUAACGGGGCUCAAACCAUGCACCGAAGCUACGGGUGUCAUCUUUGAUGACGCGGUAGAGGAGCGUUCUGUAAGCCUGUGAAGGUGAGUUGAGAAGCUUGCUGGAGGUAUCAGAAGUGCGAAUGCUGACAUGAGUAACGACAAUGCGAGUGAAAAACUCGCACGCCGAAAGACCAAGGUUUCCUGCGCAACGUUAAUCGACGCAGGGUUAGUCGGUCCCUAAGGCGAGGCUGAAAAGCGUAGUCGAUGGAAAACAGGUUAAUAUUCCUGUACUUCCAGUUAUUGCGAUGGAGGGACGGAGAAGGUUAGGCCAGCCUGGCGUUGGUUGUCCAGGUUUAAGGUGGUAGGCUGAAAUCUUAGGCAAAUCCGGGAUUUCAAGGCCGAGAGCUGAUGACGAGUUGCCUCUAGGCGACGAAGUGGUUGAUACCAUGCUUCCAAGAAAAGCUCCUAAGCUUCAGAUAACUGGGAACCGUACCCCAAACCGACACAGGUGGUUAGGUAGAGAAUACCAAGGCGCUUGAGAGAACUCGGGUGAAGGAACUAGGCAAAAUGGCACCGUAACUUCGGGAGAAGGUGCGCCGGCGAGGGUGAAGGACUUGCUCCGUAAGCCCAUGCCGGUCGAAGAUACCAGGCCGCUGCGACUGUUUAUUAAAAACACAGCACUCUGCAAACACGAAAGUGGACGUAUAGGGUGUGACGCCUGCCCGGUGCCGGAAGGUUAAUUGAUGGGGUUAGCGCAAGCGAAGCUCUUGAUCGAAGCCCCGGUAAACGGCGGCCGUAACUAUAACGGUCCUAAGGUAGCGAAAUUCCUUGUCGGGUAAGUUCCGACCUGCACGAAUGGCGUAACGAUGGCGGCGCUGUCUCCACCCGAGACUCAGUGAAAUUGAAAUCGCUGUGAAGAUGCAGUGUAUCCGCGGCUAGACGGAAAGACCCCGUGAACCUUUACUAUAGCUUUGCACUGGACUUUGAAUUUGCUUGUGUAGGAUAGGUGGGAGGCUUUGAAGUGGGGACGCCAGUUCUCAUGGAGCCAUCCUUGAAAUACCACCCUGGCAACUUUGAGGUUCUAACUCAGGUCCGUUAUCCGGAUCGAGGACAGUGUAUGGUGGGUAGUUUGACUGGGGCGGUCUCCUCCCAAAGAGUAACGGAGGAGUACGAAGGUGCGCUCAGACCGGUCGGAAAUCGGUCGUAGAGUAUAAAGGCAAAAGCGCGCUUGACUGCGAGACAAACACGUCGAGCAGGUACGAAAGUAGGUCUUAGUGAUCCGGUGGUUCUGUAUGGAAGGGCCAUCGCUCAACGGAUAAAAGGUA
rnacentral:rRNA from 1 species